rnacentral:rRNA from 1 species
GUAACACGUGAGCAAUCUGCCCUUGACUCUGGGAUAACUGCGGGAAACUGUAGCUAAUACCGGAUACGACACCUUGGGGCAUCCCAGGGUGUGGAAAGAAUUUCGGUCAAGGAUGAGCUCGCGGCCUAUCAGCUAGUUGGUGAGGUAAUGGCUCACCAAGGCGACGACGGGUAGCCGGCCUGAGAGGGUGACCGGCCACACUGGAACUGAGAUACGGUCCAGACUCCUACGGGAGGCAGCAGUGGGGAAUAUUGCACAAUGGGCGCAAGCCUGAUGCAGCAACGCCGCGUGAGGGAUGAAGGCCUUCGGGUUGUAAACCUCUUUUAGCAGGGAAGAAGCGAAAGUGACGGUACCUGCAGAAAAAGCACCGGCUAACUACGUGCCAGCAGCCGCGGUAAUACGUAGGGUGCAAGCGUUGUCCGGAAUUAUUGGGCGUAAAGAGCUCGUAGGCGGUUUGUCGCGUCUGCUGUGAAAAUCCAAGGCUCAACCUUGGACCUGCAGUGGGUACGGGCAGACUAGAGUGCGGUAGGGGAGAUGGGGAUUCCUGGUGUAGCGGUGGAAUGCGCAGAUAUCAGGAGGAACACCAAUGGCGAAGGCACAUCUCUGGGCCGUAACUGACGCUGAGGAG